rnacentral:tRNA from 1 species
AGGAUAAUAGUUAAAAAUAACAUUUGUAUUGCAUUCAAAAAUUAUUAAAUAACUAUUUAAUUUAUCUUA